rnacentral:rRNA from 1 species
CCUACGGGGGGCAGCAGUGGGGAAUCUUCCGCAAUGGACGAAAGUCUGACGGAGCAAUGCCGCGUGAGUGAUGAAGGUUUUCGGACCGUAAAGCUCUUUUGUUUAUGACGAAUGUGCAUGAUGUGAAUAAUGUUGUGUAAUGACGGUAGUAAACGAAUAAGCCACGGCUAACUACGUGCCAGCAGCCGCGGUAAUACGUAGGUGGCAAGCGUUGUCCGGAAUUAUUGGGCGUAAAGAGCAUGUAGGCGGUCCUUUAAGUCUGGAGUGAAAAUGCGGGGCUCAACCCCGUAUGGCUUUGGA